rnacentral:rRNA from 1 species
CAGUCGCCGCGGUAAUACGAAGGGGGCUAGCGUUGCUCGGAUUUACUGGGCGUAAAGGGCGCGUAGGCGGACAGUUUGGUCGGGGGUGAAAGCCCGGGGCUCAACCUCGGAAUUGCCUUCGAUACUGGCUGUCUUGAGUACGGGAGAGGUGUGUGGAACUCCGAGUGUAGAGGUGAAAUUCGUAGAUAUUCGGAAGAACACCAGUGGCGAAGGCGACACACUGGCCCGUUACUGACGCUGAGGCGCGAAAGCGUGGGGAGCAAACAGGAUUAGAUACCCGCGUAGUCCCUGUCUCUUAUAC